GACGAACGCUGGCGGCGUGCUUAACACAUGCAAGUCGAACGGAAAGGCCCUGCUUUUGUGGGGUGCUCGAGUGGCGAACGGGUGAGUAACACGUGAGUAACCUGCCCUUGACUUUGGGAUAACUUCAGGAAACUGGGGCUAAUACCGGAUAGGAGCUCCUGCUGCAUAGUGGGGGUUGGAAAGUUUCGGCGGUUGGGGAUGGACUCGCGGCUUAUCAGCUUGUUGGUGGGGUAGUGGCUUACCAAGGCUUUGACGGGUAGCCGGCCUGAGAGGGUGACCGGCCACAUUGGGACUGAGAUACGGCCCAGACUCCUACGGGGGGCAGCAGUGGGGAAUAUUGCACAAUGGGCGGAAGCCUGAUGCAGCAACGCCGCGUGCGGGAUGACGGCCUUCGGGUUGUAAACCGCUUUCGCCUGUGACGAAGCGUGAGUGACGGUAAUGGGUAAAGAAGCACCGGCUAACUACGUG
rnacentral:rRNA from 1 species